UCUUCUUCUCUUUCCUUCUUCUCCUGUGUUUUUUAUCUGCGAGUUUUAAGAGAUGUUUUUGAGGUAGGGUUUGACAGAAUUCAUUGUUGAGCGAAAGCAGAUUAAGUAGAAGAUGUUGAUGCUGCUGUGUUUGUUUGAGCAUGGGAUGAAGAGGAUGGAGUUGCUGCUGUAAAUCAAACAUAGGAUUUUUGAAGUUUAGGUUUUCUGAUGGAUUGAGAUGUAAUUUGAGUUGGUGAUGGAUGCAGUGUAAAAGGGUUGUUGAUUAAUUGAUGUUCGGAAGUUGUUUGGAUGAAGAAUCAAAGAAGUUAAAGUUAGGGUUUCCUGAAGAAACUGAAAGAAGAAUUUGGAGUUGAAAUUGAGGUUUUAAAGGUGAGAUCUGAGAUGGGUUUUGAUCAGGAUUAAUUGAAUGGUAAGGUUCUAACAAGAAGCAUAGUUCUGAGGUUUAGCUAAGUUGUUGGUAUUGGAGUUAAAUUACUGGGGAAUUGAAUAUGAACUGCAUGUGGGUAUAGUUGAUUGUCUGAAGUGGUUGAGUUAUGGAAGCUGUGUGGUAUUGUUGCUGCUGUGGGAGUUGUUGUAAUUGCAGGUGUUUGUGAAAUGGUUAGUUGUAAUUAUUAAUGAACUUAUAGUUGAGAUAGUUGUUAUGGGUAUGGAGUGCAGUUUGAUUAUUGUUUUGAAUUACAGAGAAUGGUCUUAUGUUAGGUUAGUAUAAAGAUUGCUAAGUUGCAGGGUGAGUUAUGAAUCAUUGGUGGUGAUGAUGUUAAAUUAAUGUGUUUUCGGAUGGUGCAAGUAUAAUAUGAUGAUGGUGACAAUUAGAUGAAUGUGUAGGAUUGGGAGUUUUAUUUGUGACUUUGUUAGUGAUGACAUUACGUGGAGGAGGCCUGAAAUGCAUUUGAAUGGGUAAUGGGAUGGAUGUGUAAAUGAAAGAAUAAGCUGAACUCUGUGUUAGUGAGGCAGUGGUGGUAUUUCUGGUGUUGCAAGUGAAGUGGUAAUUGGUGGUUUGAGACGGUGGUGUGUUUAUAUCUUCUAAAUUGUAAGUGUUAUGGAUUGACUUGAAUACAAGUGGUGGUGGCGAUGUUGCUUGGCUGGUUGUAUUGGAUUGAGUCUAGUGAACUAGAAUUGCAAAGAUGUAAGGUUAGAAGUAUUGUUGGUGCGGAGAUGGAGAUGCAGGUGAUGGUUCUGUAGUUGUUUGUGAGUUGCAAUGAAGUAUUGUAGUUGUUGUAGUUAUGACUUGAUGGCAGUCUCUUUGAAGGCUUGCUUCUGCUCUUGUAGGUAAGUUGUAUUGUCUUUGUAAAUCAAUUUGGAGUUAUAAAUUGAAAUGAAAUAGAUUGAAUUUGAGAUGA